rnacentral:snRNA from 1 species
UGAUGUAAAUGCAAUUUGACUGCCACACUUUCUAUUCCAUUGAUCGCUAAUGUUGAUUCUGCUGAUCUAGCUGGCUAGAUGAGUGUCCUCUUCCUCACUUGCUGCUCAUAGUUCAUCCCUCCCAAACCUGCAUGCUUGGUGGAAGAGAAUUCCAAUCCAGACAUGGAACAUGGCCAUA